GACGAACGCUGGCGGCGUGCCUAAUACAUGCAAGUCGAACGCUGAAGGCGGUGCUUGCUUCUCUGGAUGAGUUGCGAACGGGUGAGUAACGCUUAGGUAACCUGCCUCGUAGCGGGGGAUAACUAUUUGAAACGAUAGCUCAUACCGCAUAAGAUUUGUUGUUGCAUGACCUUUGCUUAUAAGGUGCAAUUGCUUCUCUACCAGUUGGCUCUGCGUUGUAUUAUCUAGUUGGUGGGGUAACGGCUAAACACCGCGACGAUACAUAGCCGACCUGCGAGGGUGAUAGGCCAAACUGGGAAUGAGAAACGGCCAAGAACACUACGGGAGGGAGAAGGAGGGAAUUUUCGGGAAAGGACGGAAGGCUGAACGAGCAACGCCGGGUGAGUGAAGGAGGUUUUCGGAUCGGAAAGACCUGGUGUAAGAGAAGGACGAGUGGGAGAGUGAAAAGUGCACAUAGUGACGGUACCUGAACAGAAAGGGACGGCUAACUACGUG
rnacentral:rRNA from 1 species